UUUGUGAUUAAUUUAUUGUUUUGAAUUGAUCUACAUGCUAUUGAUUCAAUUUAAAUUUUUUUUGUGUUGAACGUGAUACAACGCAUUGGAGAUGCAAUUCCAGCUUUCUGCGAAUGAUCUUCUACAAAUUCAAAGGCUUUUAUUCUUUUCUGCCAAUCAGGUACGUUUAAAAUAAAGUAAAAUAUUUGAAACGACCUUGAAGCAUGAAAACAUUCCCCAUGAUGCAUGAACCCCCUAUGUUUAUAUUUUCCUUCUGAUAUAUAUAUUGUAUAUGUUCAUAUAUUUGUCAAUAUAAAUAUUUGUUUCAUACAUCGCACAAUUAAAUUUUGUGAGUCAAAUUAUAUAAAAUAAAUUAGAAGCAAAUUUGGGUUUCCUAAACCCUAAGGGAUUUGAAAAAAAAAAGAAAAAAAAAAGGGGAAAUUGGGCAUGGUGCGGCACACCCACCACACCAUCACUGUGCAUACUGAUAACAAGUCUCGGCCUGGGAUCCCAAUGGAUAGGCAUGCAACCCUUUGUCCUUGCAUCGUGGCUCGUAACCACGCAACCAGCCCAGGCUCACAACCUUCAUUCAAGCCCAACUAGUUAGGUGUUUCCCAUGGCAUGCACCACCCUAGAAGGCUGGGCCUUUUUCCCGUAACCCAAACCCGCAUGCCAGCUUUCGCUGGACCUACCCGUGCCACCCCGUAAGACUUUGAGCUUGUUCCGUCUCUAGACCCAUGGCCUACAGCCACCCCACGGGCUGCUCUAGCAGACACCCCAAGGGCUGCUCUAGCAGCCACUCGAGCUUUUUGCUCACUGCACCAAGCCCAAUUAUUUUUAGGGCUCUAUUUUCGAUCUAAUAAUAUUAUUUUAAUAUUAGUUAGCUUCUACAAUCGACCCCGUAUGACCCGAUUUAUUGAAUUAAUUAAGUGACUUGCAGUCCAUUAAUCUGAUAAUGAAUCUAAAAUUAUUAACCUGAAGAUCACUUUUGGACAUUAAUGAUUCAAUAAUUUAUUUUUAUACUUUGAACCGUUGACAUACUUUCAUAGUCCCGAAGCACUCACACUUGAGUUCCUGAAGCAACCCAAAUUCACUACACUUAGUUGUAUAUUGCAUUAUGUGUUCUUGCAGAAACCUCUCUUUUAUGAACUAAACGUUCAUAAACUAAAUUGAACUUGUAGUUUCAAAUUUAGUGCCUUUGAAACCCAAAGAUUUCAUAAAACAAUACACCCAUGAAAACCCGACGUUUUUCAUGAAAACCAUGUCUUGGAACUUGAAUCUUCUAACUUUAAUGCUUAUGGAUGAUUCAUUCCUAUAAUACCAAUCACAAUCUUCUUCCCUCCAUUCAAUGGAUUGUCGUACUGUAACAAGUUCGAUUUUCCUGAUUGAAACGUUUCUAAUAGAAACCAUUCAAUGUGGGGUACAAGAAGUGAAUCUCCACUUGACUAUCAAGAAGCUGAGAACCAUUGAAGUCAACAAUGGCAUAGAAAAGCUGAAUAAGCCUAAACCAUGAUCUUCAUUCAAAGACUUAUGCUCAAAU
rnacentral:lncRNA from 1 species